rfam:Pseudomonas sp. BAY1663 contig000042, whole genome shotgun sequence.
CCUGGGCGACCCCACCGCCUGUCCCAAGACGGGCCAUGGCACCAACCCCAUCGCCAGCGGCUCGCCCGACGU